rnacentral:tRNA from 1 species
AGAUAGAAGUCCAUUGGCUUGGGCAUUUAAUUGUUAAUUAAGAGUUUGUAGGAUCGAAGCCUUCCUAUCUAG